rnacentral:lncRNA from 10 species
UGGAACUCACUUCUAGGAUGUUCUAGACACACUGACUGUACAGCCAAGGACUGGGAGGCUAGCCUAACCCCAUGCUGUCAGCUUCCGGGUGUCAAAUACGCAGUUCUGUGUGGUCCCUCUGAACUUCUGGCUGAGGAAGGUAACCUGGUGCAGCAGAGCAGGCUAAGCUGUCACAUUUGCCCCAGCCCUGCCUGGGCCUUGAGUCCUCCACAAGGUGGUGAUGAGGAUGCCUCUGGCUGGGCUGCUGAUGGGGGCAUGUGUGCACAGGCCAGGGGCUGCCUUUCUCAUGAGGUUCCUUGCAUCUCCCACUUGGUCAUCCACUCAACCUCUUCAGGGGCCUCAAGGUGGGAAUAUUGUUUCCCCUGGCAGGACUAAGACUUUCUCUCCCCCUGUUGAUUCCUGUCCCCUCACUUUCCCCACCAUAACUGGGGAUUCCCAGUGUGUGGAGUGGCAGAGCUUCCCUUCCCACACUGGGAAGGAUCUCAGUGGACAGUGAUGGGCUGGAAGGUGGUAGUCCCUGGUGUGGAGGGAGAUGAGUGGGAGGAGUGGAGAAAGGAAUGGCUGAGAGUGUGUGCUGAUCUAGAGCAGACUGCUGAUCCUCCUGGGUCCCACUUACCCACUCCCAGGGGCCAGCCGCUCCAGAGCCCGCAGGAGGCUGCCUGCAUUCUUGAGGCUCUCCAAGUGCUUCUCAUUGGAGGUGAUCUGCAAGGGCAGGAGGAAGAAGACAGUGGUCAGCUGACCCGUCCCUGACUCAUGCCCUGUUGGAUGGGCACCCUGAGUAUCAGGACACUGGUGGUCCUCAGGGGAGGGGACAAGGCAGUCUGCUGGGGCAGAAGACGGCCAGUUCAGGGCAGGGAGCCUCCUGCGGAUCUCUCAGGAGAGUUUGUGUCUGGGAACCUGAACUUUCCAAUUAAAGCAAAACUACUUUUUCUGUGCUGGGACUCAAGAGGCCUGGCUAGCAACUGGAAAUCUGUCUUUGGGGCUCUCAGCCCAACAUGAUCUCUUUCACGUGGAUAGAAGGAUGCCAAGAAGGUGCCUGGGGACCUGGGAGAGAGGCAUUAAUAACUAAACCCCAGGAAGUGUGCCCAUGCUAAUCGCCACAGUCCUAUGAGAAAAACACUUGGGCAUGCCUGACUCUGUAGCACCUAUUUGCAGAAUCAUACACUCUCAGGGCUAGAAUAGGCUCAGGUGGGGAUUUAUCUAGACCCACAAUUCUAGACCCACCCAGAGACCUCACAAUUCAGACCCUCCAUAAAAUGAGUCCAUGUCCUGAAAGGCAGAGAAGAGAAGGCUUUGAUUCUACUAUUAGACUUGCUUCUCUUAAUUCACCGUUGCCUCCUAUUGUUAUCUUUGUUAGUUUAAAAUUUCUUGUAAUAAACGCUUGUAUGGCACUUUACAUUUCAGAAUGCUGUUUCCUAUAUGUUUUCUCAUUUAAUCUUCUCAACAGCCUACCUUACAAGGUAAGUAUAUAUCAUGUUUUAUUUAUGAGGUAACCAAAGCUGAAAUUAAGGGGCUGCUACAGGAGUCCACACGGAGCCAGACUGUCUCCCCACCACGAAGGUGGAACCAGGAUGGCUUCAGCUGACUUUGAUCACAGCAACCGAGGCUGGAUUAUUGUCUCCUUAGUUAAGAGGCUCAACAUUUUUUAAUCAACCACUCAUGAUAGGUCACAGGGGUAACUAAACAUUAACAUGAACUCUGAAUUAUAUAUGAAUGCAUUCGCACCUCCACUGAGAUCCUCUCCCACCUUCCUGAGUAUGCCAGAGAACAGCUGCCAGUUCAACUGCAUCAGGUGUGAUUUCUGCAAAGAUUUGCAUCUCGGAAGAGCUGCAUGUAAAUUUGUUCUGAAAUUGCACCCAACUUGAUGUGUUCAAAAGACUACUGCUUAAAAAUGCCAGCUGUAGUUCAAUUAUGUCUGAAGUAUGCAUAAACUUACACUGAAGGUACACUCCCCAUCAGGCGUCUUCAGUGAGGAUUCCCACUUCAUUUUUCU